rnacentral:rRNA from 1 species
GGAAGGAGAAGUCGUAACAAGGUUUCCGUAGGUGAACCUGCGGAAGGAUCAUUGUCGAGACCGAAACUAUAUCGAGCGAUUCGGAGAACCUGUGAAGUAAGCGGCGGCGGCAGUCGCCGCGAAACAGCCGUCCCCGCCGUCGCCCCCCCUUGUCUGGAGGGGGCCGCGACGGGGGACGGCUGAAACCCCAAACCGGCGCAGAUUGGCGCCAAGGUAACUAUCGAAAAGCACGAGCCCGGCAUCGGGUCCUCGUGGGGCGGAGCGGUGUUAGCGCACCGCACGUAUUGACACGACUCUCGACAAUGGAUAUCUCGGCUCUCGCAUCGAUGAAGAGCGCAGCGAAAUGCGAUACGUGGUGCGAAUUGCAGAAUCCCGCGAACCAUCGAGUCUUUGAACGCAAGUUGCGCCCGAGGCCAAUCGGUCGAGGGCACGUCCGCCUGGGCGUCAACCGCCGCGUCGCUCCCUGCCAAGUCCCCACCGUUCCCACCGCAGUGGGGGUGCCGGGCGAGGCUCGGAUGUGCAGAGUGGCCCGUCGUGCCCAUCGGUGCGGCGGGCUGAAGAGCGGGUUAUCUUCUCAUUGGCCACGAACAACGAGGGGUGGAUGGAAGCUGCCGCGGGCGAGGCCCGCGUUGUCUCGUGCCGGCCCGAGUGAAGAUUACACCCUCCGUGCGAUCCCAUCCCACGCGCCGCCCCCGUGCGGCGGCUUGGAAUGCGACCCCAGGAUGGGCGAGACCACCCGCCGAGUUUAAGCAUAUCAAUAAGCGGAGGAAAAG